AUGCCUGGCUCCUUCGAUGCCUCUGAUAUUGCCUCCGUCGCGCGCCCUGGGCCUGCCACCACCUUGCUGGCUGCUGCUGGUGCUGACCCCGUGGAUGUCCGGUGCGCCAUCCGUGCCCGUGGACGCCAGAUGGCUCAAGACGAGGAGUCCGCUUGCCACCACCGCAAGCGCCCGGCUUCCAAGGCUCCAAUCUGCCUGCCUGCCACUGCUGCUGCGCCUGUGAAGAAGGUCUCUCGUCAGGUCGCUUCCAAGGCUUGCUCUUUCGUCGGCUCUACACCACUGCCUGCCACUGCUGUGCAACCGAAGCCGCAGAUCAGCAUGCGCGAACUGAUCGAGAACGCUCGCCUCACCAUGGCUCGCCUCGACAAGGCUCGCUCUGCCUCCGAAGAAGAGGCCAGCCGUCGGUGCGACAUCGAGCGCAGCCGAGCGGAGGCCCGGCGAAAGGUGGAGCAGAUGGCGGACACCGUGCAGUUCAACGACCCCUGGAUCCAUCACUCCGACGUGACCAAGUCCCCUGAGGGGCUGCUCCAAGCACGACAGCAAGCAUGGCGUUAUCAAGCUCACCUCCUCGAGAUGGCUCGUCGACGGGACUUUGCUCAAGCGAUGCAAAUCCACGGGUGA
rnacentral:rRNA from 1 species